rnacentral:rRNA from 1 species
CCUACGGGAGGCAGCAGUGAGGAAUAUUGGUCAAUGGCCGGAAGGCUGAACCAGCCAAGUCGCGUGAGGGAAUAAGGCCCUAUGGGUCGUAAACCUCUUUUGUCAGGGAGCAAAGGCGUCCACGAGUGGACGAAAGGAGAGUCCCUGCAGAAAGAGCAUCGGCUAACUCCGUUCCAGCAGCCGCGGUAAUACGGGGGAUGCGAGCUUUAUCCGGAUUUAUUGGGUUUAAGGGGUGCGUAGGCGGAGUGUAAAGUCAGCGGUAAAAUUUCGGGGCUCAACCCCGUCGUGCCGUUGAAACUGACACCCUUGAGUGAGUGAGAAGUAAGCGGAAUGCGUGGUGUAGCGGUGAAAUGCAUAGAUAUCACGCAGAACGCCGAUUGCGAAGGUAGCUUACCGGCGCUAAACUGACGCUGAGGCACGAAAGUGCGGGUAUCGAACAGGAUUAGAUACCCUUGUAGUC